GCGGGCCGCCCCUCCUCGCCAGCUUGCUUCCUGGCGGCGCCUCGCGCGGAGGAAGACCUGGCGGUGCAAGGCUGCAGCUCUGCCGGCUAUUGCUCUGAAUACAAAAGAGCCUUUCUCACGCCCCUGCGCCCUUCCCGGCCCGGGACCCCCGGACGGAAGGAGCUGGCUCGUUGGACGCUGGAGACGACAGCUGUCGGGGCCACACCACCAUUUCUGUGGUUCUUGCAGAGAAGUGUGGUUCCAAGUAUUUAUUUUAAAGGAAAUUUUAAUAAUGAUUAUAACGAUGACUUUUGUCCCCUCUUCCAAUUUAAGAGAAAAAACAAACAGGGAUGAAGGCGUUUGAAGCCCCGGCAAGUGCCCAAGAAAGCUAACCUGCCCAGGUCCGGGUCUUCCCGGGCCCUCUCAUACUUCAAAGGCGUUAAUUAAGCAAGCUCUGGGCCUCCAGCUUUGUGGCUUCGUUUUCCGACUCAGCUAAAUGAUGAGAAUGGUCUUCCCAGACUGUAAACGGAGUAUUGAUCAGCUUCUGAGUCUUCAGAUGAGCUAGUCUUGCUUGUAGAAUUACAUGGUUCUCGAAGCUGGAAAAAAGAAAUGGCCUGGUUGUCAGCACUCGCCCAAACGCUAAGGUUACUUUUUUGAACAGAAUUGGGAAUUAAACUGCCAAGACAUCGGUAACGAGCAGGAAUUGGGAUUGUUCCUGCAUUUUCUUCCACCUCCUUUAACCUUCCUAUUUCAUGUAUUGUGUCUGUGACAGGAAGCCCAGAUCAAUUAGCAGGAGAGGAAAAAAAGGCAAGAACUCUUGGAAUCAAUAACCGAACCGUUCACUGCUUCUCUACUGCCCCUUAAUCAUCCUUUAGCGUCUCUUCAGCUUUUUACCACAUUGUGAGGAUGGAGUGGACUCUUUCAAGCCCCUUACAUGCAGAACUGGAAGCCAGAAGUCAAGACGAAUCCGACCACCUUGUUUCAUUCUGCCAAGAUGCUCCAGCCUUCAGUCGGAUCAGAUCAAACUCUUGAGAAGUAAGAGGGCUAAAGGGCAGAAGAAUUUGUGGAGUCAAGCAGAAGAAGUGUGACAUGGCCUGCUCUGAAGGACGACUUUUCAAGCCCUCUGCGUAAGGAAGAAUUAAUUUCCUUUUUGUAGCAAGAACUAAUUGACCCGCCUCACCAAACUCCGUGACUUCCGACAGUUCACAGAAUGCAGAAGCUGAACUCUCUUAAAGUUGCCAAGCAACAGGUCACACAAUUCCACAAAUACCACCUUCCAUCCCCCCAAAUUUCAACUAGCAAACUUAGAAGUUAUAUAACUUUCUGGCUUUUGCUCUAAGCGAUAUACUGCUACAAAUUAUGGCAAGAAAGCAGGUGGCCACUGCUUUUAUAAAUAAAAGAGUGAAAGGUUUAAGAUGUGGAACAAGAGGACAGUGCCAAGCAUUCAUUUCCUCUAAAGACUGGCCUCCAAGGGUCUGGAGGCAAACGUGCCCCUCUUGUGAUGUCAGCGAGAGCAGGUGACUCAAACGGCUUCUUGCGCGUCGUACAGCAAUGAUGCUGAAGCUGGCGGCGUGCUGAAGUCGCCCCAGGACCUGGGAAAAUCAGCACGCCAGCCCAUAGAUUCUGAUUGACUUGGUCUGGAGUAGGGCCCAGGCUUUGGUAAUUUUCAAAAGCUUAUUUCUGGAAGGUUCUAAAGAGCAGCCAGGGUUAAGAAUUAAGGUCACUGAAACACCACUGUGAACCUUUUUUAGGAUCUUCUGUUCACCAGAUUUCCUCUAUCCUUCACUAAUAAUUACUCUAAACCUGGUUACUACGCUUGCCUCUCCUCCACACAAUUGUUAUUCAUUGGCAAACCGGAACAGAUCUUUCUAUUUUUGUCCUUUCUCUGAUCAAUUCUUUUUUCUUUUAAUUAAUUUUUAUUGGAGUAUAGUUGCUUCACAAUGUUGGGCAGAAGUUCUCAGCCCUCUGUGUUCAUUCACGUAACCUGUGGGA